GACAGAGGGUGCAAACGUUGCUCGGAAUUACUGGGCGUAAAGCGCGUGUAGGCGGUGCCGCACGUCCGAUGUGAAAGCCCGGGGCUCAACCCCGGAAGUGCAUUGGAUACGACGGCGCUAGAGUCCUGAAGAGGAGGGCGGAAUUCCCGGUGUAGAGGUGAAAUUCGUAGAUAUCGGGAGGAACACCAGUGGCGAAGGCGACGUCCUGGGCUUGACCUGACGCUGAGACGCGACAGCACGGGGAGCGAACGGG
rnacentral:rRNA from 1 species